rnacentral:misc_RNA from 1 species
AAGUCGUAACAAGGUUUCCGUAGGUGAACCUGCGGAAGGAUCAUUAACACGUAUCCAACGUUAAACAACCCUGUGAACUUUAAGUCCCCUCUUGCAGCCCAUGAGGAACAGCAAUCCCGGUAAAUCAUUGCCAAACAGUUUUGAUUCAGAGACCUCUGGCCCGUGCGAACAUUGGAACAGUUACAAUCGACUGCGGUAGUUCUAUAGGCAUUGUUUCCCCAAGCAGUCAGUGUCUGAAAGUGUCAUUGAUUGUGCAAGGAUAGCGCUUCACGAUUCCUGCAGACCGUACACUCGGGCAGGAGCUAUGCCAAAGGGUCCCCAUGCCCCCUUAUAACCCCACAGUUUAAUGUGAAGCUCAAUGUAAUACAUUGGGUAAAAAAACCGAACAACUGUUAACAAUGGAUAUCUUGGUUCUC